rnacentral:rRNA from 1 species
AGAGUUUGAUCCUGGCUCAGGACGAACGCUGGCGGCGUGCUUAACACAUGCAAGUCGAGCGGUAAGGCCUUUCGGGGUACACGAGCGGCGAACGGGUGAGUAACACGUGGGUGACCUGCCCUUAGCUCUGGGAUAAGCCCGGGAAACUGGGUCUAAUACCGGAUAUUCACUUCUCAUCGCAUGGUGGGUGGUGGAAAGUUUUUCGGCUAGGGAUGGGCCCGCAGCCUAUCAGCUUGUUGGUGGGGUGAUGGCCUACCAAGGCGACGACGGGUAGCCGGCCUGAGAGGGCGACCGGCCGCACUGGGACUGAGACACGGCCCAGACUCCUACGGGAGGCAGCAGUGGGGAAUAUUGCGCAAUGGGCGGAAGCCUGACGCAGCGACGCCGCGUGGGGGAUGACGGCCUUCGGGUUGUAAACCUCUUUCGGCCCCGACGAAGCGUGAGUGACGGUAGGGGUAGAAGAAGCACCGGCCAACUACGUGCCAGCAGCCGCGGUAAUACGUAGGGUGCGAGCGUUGUCCGGAAUUAUUGGGCGUAAAGAGCUCGUAGGCGGUCUGUCGCGUCGGUCGUGAAAACCUGCAGCUUAACUGUGGGCGUGCGGUCGAUACGGGCAUGACUGGAGUUCGGCAGGGGAGACUGGAAUUCCUGGUGUAGCGGCGAAAUGCGCAGAUAUCAGGAGGAACACCGGUGGCGAAGGCGGGUCUCUGGGCCGAUACUGACGCUGAGGAGCGAAAGCGUGGGGAGCGAACAGGAUUAGAUACCCCCGUAGUCC